rfam:Micromonospora coxensis strain DSM 45161 genome assembly, chromosome: I
CCGGUGGUACGCGACUGGCGGCACGGGGAUGGGUGAACCAUCGGGGAGCUCGUCGCGGGGGUCGACCGCCUGGGCCUCCGUG